GAGAGGUGAGAGGGAACAGUAGGUGAGAGGUGAGGGGUAACAGUAGGUGAGAGGUGAGAGGGAACAGUAGGUGAGAGGUGAGAGGGAACAGUAGGUGAGAGGUGAGGGGUAACAGUAGGUGAGAGGUGAGAGGUAACAGUAGGUGAGAGGUGAGAGGUAACAGUAGGUGAGAGGUGAGGGGUAACAGUAGGUGAGGGGUACAGUAGGUGAGAGGUGAGAGGUAACAGUAGGUGAGAGGUGAGAGGUAACAGUAGGUGAGAGGUGAGAGGUAACAGUAGGUGAGAGGUGAGGGGUAACAGUAGGUGAGGGGUACAGUAGGUGAGAGGUGAGGGGUAACAGUAGGUGAGAGGUGAGAGGUAACAGUAGGUGAGAGG
ensembl:lncRNA